rnacentral:rRNA from 1 species
AUUGCAGGCUGCAACCCGCCUGCAUGAAGUCGGAAUCGCUAGUAAUCGCGAGUCAGCAUAUCGCGGUGAAUACGUUCCCGGGUCUUGUACACACCGCCCGUCACACCAUGGGAGUUGGCAACACCCGAAGUCGAUGAGCUAACCGCAAGGAGGCAGUCGCCUAAGGUGGGGUUGAUAACUGGGGUGAAGUCGUAACAAGGUACC